UACGAAGGGGGCGAGCGUUGUUCGGAUUUACUGGGCGUAAAGCGUGCGCAGGCGGCUUUGCAAGACAGAUGUGAAAUCCCCGGGCUUAACCUGGGAACUGCAUUUGUGACUGCAUGGCUGGAGUGCGGCAGAGGGGGAUGGAAUUCCGCGUGUAGCAGUGAAAUGCGUAGAUAUGCGGAGGAACACCGAUGGCGAAGGCAAUCCCCUGGACCUGUACUGACGCUCAUGCACGAAAGCGUGGGGAGCAAACAGG
rnacentral:rRNA from 1 species